AGAGUUUGAUCCUGGCUCAGGACUAACGCUGGCGGCGUGCCUAACACAUGCAAGUCGAACGAAGUAGCAAUACUUAGUGGCAGACGGGUGAGUAACACGUAGUCAAUCUACCUCAGUGUGGGGGAUAACUAGCCGAAAGGUUAGCUAAUACCGCAUACGAUCGUCGAGGGGCAUCCCUUGACGAUGAAAGGAGCAAUCCG
rnacentral:rRNA from 1 species